GCAGUCCUCCUGCUUCAGCCUGCCAAGUACUGGGAUUAUAGGUGUGUGCCACCACAUCCAGCUAUUACUGUAUAGACUUUUUAAGUUCCUUAACGGGGUAUGAUGGAUUAUUCUUUGUAUCUUUAGUAGUGUUUAGCCUAAGCUUGCAGGUAGUGUGAAAGAGGAAGUGUCAUGGUCGGCACAAAGGUUUUGACCCAGCAUUGGGAAGUGGGAGUGGGAAUUUUACAGAGGACAGUAAUUCUGAAAGUCAGGCGUUUGGUUUAGACCUGUUCUGUUUGAAGUGAGAGAAUACCCAAGCAGCAAAGGACUGCAGUUGUGGAGGAAUGACUUCUGGUGCCCGUCUGAGCUCAUUUUUACAAAUUCGUUAACAUUGCUUCAUAGUAGUAGGUAUAUGUUGCCAGAACUCAGUAUAAUUUUUUUUUGAUAUGUAUCACCAGUUGGUUUUCAUUUCAUUGCUGUGUUUGUUUGGGUUUUUUUAGUGUAUAUUUUUCUUGUUUUCAUUUUGGAAAACAAAAAUGGUUGGUUUUCAUUUGGUAAAUGAGAUUUAGCUAUCAUAUGCUUAUUUGCAACUUUAAAAAAUAAAAAAAUGAAAGCUGAUUUAUAGACUGGUUGUUAUCAUGGUCAAUACAGAAGCUAGAUACCUAAACUAGCCCUUAAGGUCAUGUUGUAGCUAUUUGCCUCUGUUAAAAAGAUUUAAAAAAAAAAAAAAAAAAGAAGAAGAAGCCUAACAGGAUUCAGAGAGGCUCCUUGGGACAGGGUACACAGGCACCAAGAUGGAUUGGAGAAAAAAGUCUCUGGACAUCACGGCCUCAUUGGUAGAUCUUAAGCCUGAGCUCUUCCGAAAACAAGAAGAAUUCAAACAGGAAAAACUUCUAAAAGAUUCUGGAGCUUUUGGAAAACCAAAGACAACUAAUAAGAAACCAAGUAUCUGGAGCAAGCAAAAUGCAGGCGUUUCAAAUCGAGCGGAGAAGGACGCUGAGCAGAAGCUUGAGGAGCAGAAGACUUUAGACAAAGCAAGGGAAAAAUUGGAAGAAAAAGCCAAAUUAUAUGAAAAGAUGACUAAAGGAGACUUUCUAGAUGAGGAAGUAGAAGACAUGUACCUUGUGGAUUUGACACGGAAAAUCAUAGGCAAGCCCAAAGAAAUGGAGGUGCUUGGUGCCAGGACAGUCCCGAAAUGCAGGAGAGAUGAUGCAGAGCUUUCUGAAAGACAUACCUCCUCCCCAAGACCCCAGUGAGGAAUGGGUGGACUAUGUGGACUCUACUCCGAUCCCCGCGCUGCAUGAGGAAGGAUUUGCCAGAUCUGUUGGAGAUGGAUAAAAACCUUCAGGGGAGACUUUUUGUUAGUCCUGCUAAUGAAAAAACAUCAUUAUCUGAAGACAUGAGGAAAGAACUUCAGCGCCAACAAUGGGAAGAGGAGGAAAUGGAGGCCCUGAGAAGGCCAAUGGGGUCCAUCUACUACGAGGACAUUCGAGAAAAUGAGGCCCGGCAACUUGGUGUUGGCUAUUUUGCCUUUGCCCAAGACAAAGAGCUGAGAAACAAGCAAAUGAAAAACACUAGAGAUGCUGUAUGAGCAGACAACAGAUCAGAGGACAAAGCGAGAAAGCAUAGAGGGAAAGCGGAAGGCUGUGUUAGAAGCAAGAGUGGCCCAGCAGAGACAAAAAAGAUGAAAAAAAUCAAAGGAAGAUGGGACAGAGAAGAAAACAGAGAUGGAGAUGUUAUUGGGCCUUUGCCACCAGAACCAAAAGCUGUGCCAACUCUGCCUCCUGCUGCCCAGAGGGACAGCAUGAGAGGAGGGACACCAAGCCUCGAGUGCCACACGUCCGAGAAGGGGGACCGAGGAAAAUAAUUUUCCUUGGGAUACUGGUCAGAGAAGCGGUCAGAACUCCGGGCUGAGCAAGAUCCUGAGUUUGCCCCACCAUCGGAUUACUUUGUGGGUCAAAAGAAAGCUGGUCCUUUGGGUCACCAGCCAUGGAACAGACUGGGAUCUGUACCCAGCAACCCAGGGCAUUGCUCUGACCAGAGCCAGGAACCUAGCUCUCCAUAUAAGCCAUCUACUACUGCCCCUGAAAUCCCAUCACAAGCCCCCAUAGUAACUUUCCAAAGUCUGGAUGAUAUGAUAUCAUAUUAUAAACAAGUCACAUGACCUUGGGGGAGAAAAGAUUUAAAAAAAAAUAGGGACGACUCCCUUGUUUUCAAAUUAUUCCUUUGAUCUACUGGUUUGAUUUCAGACCUUAAAAG